AACGAACGCUGGCGGCAGGCUUAACACAUGCAAGUCGAGCGCACCGCAAGGUGAGCGGCAGACGGGUGAGUAACGCGUGGGAAUCUACCCAACCCUACGGAAUAACCCAGGGAAACUUGGACUAAUACCGUAUACGCCCUUUUGGGGAAAGAUUUAUCGGGGAUGGAUGAGCCCGCGUUGGAUUAGCUAGUUGGUGGGGUAAAGGCCUACCAAGGCGACGAUCCAUAGCUGGUCUGAGAGGAUGAUCAGCCACAUUGGGACUGAGACACGGCCCAAACUCCUACGGGAAGCAGCAGUGGGGAAUAUUGGACAAUGGGCGCAAGCCUGAUCCAGCCAUGCCGCGUGAGUGAUGAAGGCCUUAGGGUUGUAAAGCUCUUUCAGUAGGGAAGAUAAUGACGGUACCUACAGAAGAAGCCCCGGCUAACUUCGUG
rnacentral:rRNA from 1 species